UCGGAUUGCAGGCUGCAACCCGCCUGUAUGAAGUUGGAAUCGCUAGUAAUCGCGGAUCAGCAUGCCGCGGUGAAUACGUUCCCGGGCCUUGUACACACCGCCCGUCACACCAUGAGAGUCGGGAACACCCGAAGUCCGUAGCCUAACCGCAAGGGGGGCGCGGCCGAAGGUGGGUUCGAUAAUUGGGGUGAAGUCGUAACAAGGUAAC
rnacentral:rRNA from 1 species